UUGGUUUCUAAUCUGAGCACUAUAGACUUAUACGAGAGUCCGCGCACAUGCAGAAACCAUUCGGUCGCCCAUUUGAGCAACUUUUUAGUUUGUGUUUUGACACAAACUAAACGAUCACCCCAAACCAAUUCCUUAGUUUGUGUCACAAGGAAUUUUAGGUAACUGCGCGCACAUUCAACUAAAUCGUUGAACAAUUUUCUUUAAGUGCAAGAGAGAAAAAAAAUGAGUCAAUGUUUUCCUUUCACAAAAAAUUCUGAGGGAAGAGUACCACCUUACAUCUCAAUUUCACUAGUUUUCUCUUUCAUACAUUGAUUGCGAAAAUUUAUUAGUUGCUUAAACCCAUAAAAAAUGUCUGUAUCCUUCUAAGAUACACGUAACUGCGCGCACAUGCAACUAAAUAGUUUCUUUGGUAUGCAUGUAUUAGUGCAUUUCAGUCGAAUGAUUCUUUAAAGUGUGACGAGGUUAGUAGGAUACUUCCAUACGCGCAGAAUAAUAUAUCCUUCUCAUUAUUAUGUACUUCAAUCAAGUGCGUCAUCGUUUAAAAAAUGGAAUAAAGCACAAUUAUUUCAAAUGAAGUUUCGCGUCUCACAAAUGGGAAUGUCAAGAGUAAAACAACGCUGUCGCCGUCGAAUGCUAUCAACCAGACUGCAAAUGGAAAUGUAUAUAAUAAAGAGUAACAUAAACAACACUGAAACGGAAAAGCACCCACAGGAGCAGCAGUAUCAGGAAGAGGAGGAUUCUAUGAUGAUCCUAAUCGGAGCAAAUCUUCAUUCGAAAAGGAUCCUCUACACACAGCCUUCCUAGUAUAUCUUGGCUUUUACCUUUCAAUUGAUCAAUCAAUUGAUGUGUGUGAAAAUAAUCGAGAGGGCUAUGUUACGCUAUACGAUGCCUUCGAGGGCUUCUAUUCAGGGUAUGUCUAUCGGAAGGUCCGAGAUUGCUGGAAUUUCCCAAUUUGCAGAUCGCAUUACCAAGGAUUACGGUUGGACAUUUGAGUUCACUUUAAAAUAAACAAGAUGCUUGAACAGCGUUGCAGAACAGAUGGCUUGGCUUUAGGCAGUCCUCGUUAUGAAGUAUGUUGGAGUGUUCGAUUGUCCGAAGUUAUUGCAUUGAAAAAGAAAUACAAACCUUAUUUGUAUUUGUAUGAGACGCAUAGUGUGGUAGCGAUGGGACCAAAUGGUCGCGGUAUUGUCGACUAUUAUGGCGCCGAUCCAAAAGAUGUUGAUAUUCUAAUGGGAAAAUUUAAAAAGAGCUUUGGCAGUGCUGGUGGUUUUAUUGAUGGAACAAAGAGCUGUACUACACAAACUUUCCGUAAGGUAGCGGUUGUUGGAGUUGGGUUUCCUGCCACUCCAAUUGUGGAAGGACGUACAUAUACGCUUAAGAGCAGUUUGAUUAUGCCUUACAAGUGAUUGAUGAAAUAAGUGAUUCAGUAAUGAGUUGGCCUAAAGCAUUCAUGUAAAGUAAGAAAUUCUAAUCCGAUUAUUUAUUAAGUUAAAAGGAAUAAAUAAAUAAUAAUAAAUAAAUGAAUAAGGUCAUUUUAUAAUUCGUUUAAUAAGAAUUUCAUUUAUUUGAUGUA